rnacentral:rRNA from 1 species
UUGAAAGGGAAACGAUUGAAGUCAGUCGUGCUGGCGCGAAAUCAACCUUCUCGUCUUGAGAUCACAUGGCGUGGCGAGCCUCAAAACCGUCACGAAGCGUGAACUCUUGGUGAGAUGGAGCACUUUCGUGUCCGCUGGUUAACAUCAAUUUCGAACGUCAUAAAAAGGCUGGAGGGAUGUGGCUCCUUCGGGAGUGUUAUAACCUUUAGCGGAAUGUGGUGUUCGGGAUUGAGGAUUGCAACGAAUACCUUUAGGGCUGUUCCACCUGGCUUCUCUUUGGUAUCCUGGUGACGACAGCUUGCUGACGUCGUUAGGAUUCGCCUUUGAACAGGCUAGAGUGUGAGCAAAUUCGUUAAGGAUGUUGACGUA